GAAAGACAAUGGCUUACCAUGGAUGCAUGCAAGCUGAAUUCUGCUGCCCGGACCUGCGUCUGUGAGAUCUCUAACACCAGAGCCGCAGGCACUCAAUAUUAAGAUGCAAAAUGCGACCUUGUAGUGAAAUCACAUGUGCUAUGUAAGAUGCAAAUUUUUCAAGCCUCUCUACUCCAUCAGAUGUCUGUCUCAGAUAAGGCGGCAGAAAAAAAAGACGUGAGACGAAAUGUUCUCGGAAAUCAUGGAAGUGACCCGCAAUGAAAGAGCUCAUCUGAAUGAGUGGAAGGACGUGGUAUCAAAUUACAGGAAAGAUGUUAGUGAACGUGAGGACAGGAGGGACGCUCGAGAUGUGCGGUGGCGGCAGGAAGAUCAGAGGUGUAGGCAGGAAGAUCAGCGGUGGCGGGAUGCAACGCUGGGGCUGCUGCGUGAUCAAACUGACAUCCUCCGACGUCUGGUGGAGCUUCAGGAACAGCAGCAGGAACACAGAGUGCCACUGUACCCCUGCGUAACCACCCUCACCAUGUUCCAUAUCCUCCUCACCCAGACGUGUAAGAACGCGUGGAGGAAGGCUUCGUGCACCCGCCCACUCCACCCCCACGGACAGCCCAACCAAAAAGCUGUCAUUACAUUGAAAUUUUUUUAAUGGCCUUUUCCUUCCCUCCUAUCUUCCUCCCAAACCACACCCGGGCUACCUUGUCAGUUCUCUCCCUCUUUUUAUAAUGAAUUAAUAAAGAAUACAUGAUUUUUAAAUGA